rnacentral:lncRNA from 1 species
GUAAAUUUUUGUGAUCUUGUAGUGAGCAAUGUUUCUUUUUUUCUUUUCUUUUCUUAAUUUAUUUUAAUUAGUAAGUAUAUAUGAUAGCAAAAUGCAUUUUGACUCAUUGUACACAAUUGCAGUGAAAAAGAAACUUGAUCAGAGAAGGAAAAUAACCACAGUACACUACAUGGCUCAGCUGUGAAUAAUAUUUACAAAGUGAGUAAUAUACAUACAGAAAUACUGUGAUAUCAUUUUUUUCAGGAAAUAGGGGAGAUGAUGUGCAUGUGUGAGAGAUGGGUGUAAGAAACCUGAGUUCCCAUCUUUCAUCAGAGAAAAAGCAUCCCAGCUGAAGCAGGGAAAUAAUAAACAUUUGUACAGUAUGUUAUUUAGCGAUAGGAGGUAAAUACCAGAAACAGCAACAAGAAGAAUGGACAGAGAUUAUCUCUGAAUAGAAGUUGGGUGUGG